AUGAACGCUAGCGACAGGCUUAACACAUGCAAGUCGAGGGGUAACAGGGUAGCAAUACCGCUGACGACCGGCGCACGGGUGAGUAACGCGUAUGCAACCUGCCUAUAACUGGGGAAUAGCUCCCUGAAAGGGGAAUUAACACCGCAUAACACUAUUGAUUCGCAUGGAUUGGUAGUUAAAUGUAGCGAUACAGGUUAUAGAUGGGCAUGCGUGACAUUAGCUAGUUGGUGAGGUAACGGCUCACCAAGGCUACGAUGUCUAGGGGUUCUGAGAGGAAGGUCCCCCACACUGGUACUGAGACACGGACCAGACUCCUACGGGAGGCAGCAGUGAGGAAUAUUGGUCAAUGGGCGCAAGCCUGAACCAGCCAUGUCGCGUGCAGGAAGACUGCCCUAUGGGUUGUAAACUGCUUUUAUAGUAGAAGAAACACAUCUACGUGUAGAUGUCUGCCAGUAUACUAUGAAUAAGCAUCGGCUAACUCCGUGCCAGCAGCCGC
rnacentral:rRNA from 1 species